GCAGAGUACUGGGGGCUUUUCUAUUACAGGUAGCAUUCCAUGUAUUUUAGUUCAAUGGAAUCACAUUAAAUGGCUGAACGUGUGUAGUUGUAUAUGAAGUCAAAAACACAUGAAUUUUCUUUUAAAUAUGAUUGAUAUUUUGAUUUUGUAAAAGAUAAAACUUGUGCUGUGCUGGUGAGCGUUUUUUAUAUGUGAAAUUUAUUUAUCAUUUUGAAGAGCAUAGAUGCAACAAAUUGAUUCAAGCUAC